AACGAACGCUGGCGGCAGGCUUAACACAUGCAAGUCGAACGGUUCUUUAGGGAGCCGUGGCGCACGGGUGAGUAACGCGUGGGAACAUGCCCUUAGGUUGGGAAUAACGGCGGGAAACUGCCGAUAAUACCUGAUAUGACGAGAGUUGAAAGAUUUAUCGCCUGGGGAUUGGCCCGCGUUGGAUUAGCUAGUUGGUGUGGUAAAGGCGCACCAAGGCUACGAUCCAUAGCUGGUCUGAGAGGAUGAUCAGCCACACUGGGACUGAGACACGGCCCAG
rnacentral:rRNA from 1 species